CGCCCGUCGCUCCUACCGAUUGGGUGUGCUGGUGAAGUGUUCGGAUUGGCGACCGCGGGCGGUUUCCGCCCUCGGCCGCCGAGAAGUUCAUUAAACCCUCCCACCUAGAGGAAGGAGAAGUCGUAACAAGGUUUCU
rnacentral:rRNA from 1 species